UCCCACAGGUAGCGAACCCUAAUUUAACACGGAGCAUUAACUAUUGCAGUCUCGGUUUAUAGGUACACUUCUUGCAAAUAUUGACUGCACUAUGUACAAUGUUGAUUUUGUACCAUGUUGUAUAGAGACCCAAGCCAACUAUACGGAGUUUUUCACCAUCGUUUCCAGCAGUCAGACGUGUGAAUUUCGUAGUACAAAUGCCGCGGUAUUGCGUAUUUUGUUCGAAAAAGAGUGGUAAAAAUUCCUCCAACUUUACCUCCAGACGAAUGCGGUUGGAAAGAAGGAAACAACAAGUACGUUUUUCAUUGGUUUGAAGGAGGUCAACUUCCAGAAACGAUAGAUGAUAUCAAAUUGAAUGAAGAUGUCAAUGAAGUCAAUGAACGUGAUGGGGAAGAUUCCUCGGGAAGUGAUGACGAUGAAGAGUCUUCGGAUGAAAUUUAUAGCAGUGGCCUUGAUAGUGAUGAGUCAACAGAAAGUAAUAGGAUUAGCUGUAGUAGUUUGCCACUCCAAUUUCAUGUUUUUAUUAAAAAAAGUUUGAGCCAUUCCUGGAAUGAGUUAAAAUGACGGAGUUUAUUACACCUGGAUCGAACGGACCCGGCGCUUCCUUGCCAACUGAAGGUUAUUACGUUUAUUCCUAAAGUGUGUUCUGUCAGGACAAGCAGAAUUGGGUUGAAUGAAAUGGCUAGUUGAAAAUGCAGCCAAGUCCCGGAAUAUAGAAAAAUUUUCAGUGGAUACCUGAUUGAAGAGCAACUUCAAUUAAAAUGUUCCCAAACUAUGCGACUUUCAAAAUACCUACAUUUUAUAUGACAGAUUGGUGCAUCUAAAUGGUA